CUCUCUCUCUCUCUCUCUCACAAAAACACACCGGAAGACACAGCAACCCUGCUCAGUAGCUACGAAGUCACUUACCACUGCUUAACACCUCUGAAGUCAACCUAGGUCAUCGGAAGAAGUAGAGGACACCAGAAACCCCCGUCGGCAUCCACCGCAGCAGCUCACCGGAAAACUCAAAAUCGACAGUAAAGGGAUUAUUAAGAUUUGUAAAAGAUUCGAGGGAUUAAGGGCACUAGGGUGCAGAGAAUGAAGGGAAAAGUUCGAAUAUGACAAUUCUAGGCCAAGUCGUCGUCGGAGACGGCGGAAAUAGACGAACACAGUCGGAGCUUCUCGCCAUCGAUUUGUCUUUGAAUCAGUAUGUGCAAUUCACGGGCUGGGUUAUGUAGAGGGGAAAGAGAGAAGAAAUUUGGUGGUGGUUUUGUGGAGAAUGGUGGCCAGAGUCGACCGAGAGGCGUCGGAGAAGACGGCCGAGGACGGAGAGCUUCUCAGCUCUCGUCGUACGCGAGAGAGGAGUGCUUGACCCGACUUGGGUCAGUUGACCUUGGUUGGGUUUUCAAAGAAGGAAUCAACGGUCAAGAUUAAAAGAGAACGAGAUCAAAAUGGUCUACUUGUUUACGAACACUAACCUACCAGUUUUGUAAACAUGGUGUACUAGGUUUUCGAAUCAUUGUCUCACACUACGAGUAGACCAACUCUAAAGUGUCCAAAAUUCACACACACUUGAAGAAUUCUUGAGAGGUUUACAUGUUUAUGAAGCCUGGUCUGCUUAUUUACGAGUACGGGUCUACUUUUUUUGUGAGACAAAAUGGUCUACCUGUUUACGAACACGAACCUACCUGUUUUGUAAACAUGGUCUACCAGGUUUCCGAAUCAUUGACUCAUACUAUGUGUAGACCAACUCUACAGUGUCCAGAAUUCACACACACUUGAAGAAUUUUUAAGAGGUCUAUCUGUUUACGAAGUCUGGUCUGCUUAUUUACGAGAAAGGGUCUACUUUUUUUGUGAGACAAAAUGGUCUACCUGUUUACGAACACUAACCUACCUGUUUUGUAAACAUGGUGUACUAGGUUUUCGAAUCAUUGUCUCACACUACGAGUAGACCAACUCUAAAGUGUCCAAAAUUCACACACACUUGAAGAAUUCUUAAGAGGUUUACAUGUUUAUGAAGCCUGGUCUGCUUAUUUACGAGUACAGGUCUACUUUUUUUGUGAGACAAAAUGGUCUAC
rnacentral:lncRNA from 1 species